rnacentral:rRNA from 1 species
AUUGAACGCUGGCGGCGUGCUUAACACAUGCAAGUCGAACGGUAAGGCCCUUCGGGGUACACGAGUGGCGAACGGGUGAGUAACACGUGGGUGGUCUGCCCUGCACUUCGGGAUAAGCCUGGGAAACUGGGUCUAAUACCGGAUAGGACCACUGCCUGCAUGGGUGGUGGUGGAAAGCUUUUGCGGUGUGGGAUGGGCCCGCGGCCUAUCAGCUUGUUGGUGGGGUGAUGGCCUACCAAGGCGACGACGGGUAGCCGGCCUGAGAGGGUGACCGGCCACACUGGGACUGAGAUACGGCCCAGACUCCUACGGGAGGCAGCAGUGGGGAAUAUUGCACAAUGGGCGCAAGCCUGAUGCAGCGACGCCGCGUGAGGGAUGACGGCCUUCGGGUUGUAAACCUCUUUCAGCACCGACGAAGCGCAAGUGACGGUAGGUGCAGAAGAAGGACCGGCCAACUACGUGCCAGCCGCCGCGGUAA